CACUAAAUGGCUGAAAGUAAGCAAUGGAAUUUUAAACCAUAAAAUAGUAUAUUAACGAAUAUUUUUAGUG
rnacentral:tRNA from 1 species